CAAUAGCGUAUAUUAAAGUUGUUGCAGUUAAAAAGCUCGUAGUUGGAUUUGUGGUGUACUUCGGCGGCCCGUCACUAUGUGAUGGAGCUUGCUGAAGUCGCCAUCCUUGGGUGGAUCCUGUGUGGCAUUAAGUUGUCGUGCAGGGGAUGCCCAUCGUUUACUGUGAAAAAAUUAGAGUGUUCAAAGCAGGCUUAUGCCGUUGAAUAUAUUAGCAUGGAAUAAUAAGAUAGGACCUUGGUACUAUUUUGUUGGUUUGCGCACCAAGGUAAUGAUUAAUAGGGACAGUUGGGGGUAUUCGUAUUUCAUUGUCAGAGGUGAAAUUCUUGGAUUUUUGAAAGACGAACUACUGCGAAAGCAUUUACCAAGGAUGUUUUCAUUGA
rnacentral:rRNA from 1 species